rnacentral:misc_RNA from 1 species
AAAUCUCAACCUCCUUGAUUUCUUCUGGAGAUCAAAGGAGGCUUGGACUUUGGAGGCAUUUGCUGGCGUCUCUCUCCAGCUCCUCUUGAAUGAAUUAGCGGGGUCCUCUUUGCCGACCCUUGACAUGUGAUAAGAUGCUUCCGUGUCUUGGUUUUUGGCUCUGUUGCCUUUGGGACCCGCUUCUAACCGUCUCGACUUGAGACAACGCUCGAGCCUGUCUCCCUUCUCAGGGAGCCCCUCUCGGCCCCACGAAC